rnacentral:rRNA from 1 species
AUUUUGGACAAUGGGGGAAACCCUGAUCCAGCCAUCCCGCGUGUAUGAUGAAUGCCUUCGGGUAGUAAAGUACUUUUGGAAGUGAAGAAAAGGUACCUCCUAAUACGAGGUACUGCUGACGGUAUCUGCAGAAUAAGCACCGUCUAACUACGUUCCAGCAGCCGCAGUAAUACGUAGUGUGCAAGCGUUAAUCGGAAUUACUGUGAGUAAAGCGUGUGUAGGCGGUUCGGAAAGAAAGAUGUGAAAUCCCAGGGCUCAAACUUGGAAAUGCAUUUUUAACUGCCGAGCUAGAGUAUGUCAGAGGGGGGUAGAAUUCCACGUGUAGCAGUGAAAUGCGUAGAUAUGUGGAGGAAUACCGAUGGCGAAGGCAGCCCCCUGGGAUAAUACUGACGCUCAGACACGAAAGCGUGGGGAGCAAACA